UUAUGGCCAUAUCACAUUGAAACACCAGUUCUCAUACAAUCACCAAAGUUAAGCAAUGUUGACUUUGGUCAAUAUAUAGAUGGGUGGCCGUUUGGGAAUACCAGGUGCUGUAAG